rnacentral:rRNA from 1 species
GACGAACGCUGGCGGCGUGCUUAACACAUGCAAGUCGAGCGGUAAGGCCCUUUUGGGGGUACACGAGCGGCGAACGGGUGAGUAACACGUGGGUGACCUGCCCUCAGCUCUGGGAUAAGCCUGGGAAACUGGGUCUAAUACUGGAUAUGACCUUUCCUCGCAUGGGGUUGGGUGGAAAGUUUUUCGGCUGGGGAUGGGCCCGCGGCCUAUCAGCUUGUUGGUGGGGUGAUGGCCUACCAAGGCGACGACGGGUAGCCGGCCUGAGAGGGCGACCGGCCACACUGGGACUGAGACACGGCCCAGACUCCUACGGGAGGCAGCAGUGGGGAAUAUUGCGCAAUGGGCGGAAGCCUGACGCAGCGACGCCGCGUGGGGAUGACGGCCUCGG